ensembl:lncRNA
GUUAAGAUGGUGACUUUCUCUUGUUAUUUAAACAUUCUUUGUAGAGAAAAUUAAAUUUUUAAAAAAAUAUAUAUUUUUUUUAACACCUUGGCAAUAGGACACUCUGUGCCAAGUGAAUUGAUGGCAAUUGUUAGCCUAGUUUUUGGGGAAAAGAGUUGACACUGGAGACAAAUUAGAAACAGGUAAUGAAUAGGGGAAAGUCUUGUCCUGAUGUAGGUACCAUUCGAUGGACUGUUCCUUCAUAGGGAUAACACUUUAAUUUUAACUGCAAUUUGCUUUCCUUGUACAGCGUUUUCUCUUUUUGCUUAACACAAUGACUAGAGAGACACCAUUCCUUGCCAAAGGCUGUCUAGAUCUUCUAAAACUCUUCUGCUGAUGGAACAUCUUAUUUGCCUGAAGCCAGAAAGUUGGGCCAAAUGGUUUCUUGGAUUCUCUUUCAGCUCUAGUCUUGGGGCUCUGCCAUUCCCUAGAGCAGGGGUUGGCAAACUUUUUCUGUAGAGGGCCAGCUAGUAAAUAUUCUAGGCUUUCUAGGCUCUAUAGUGUCUUGUCAUAAGUACGCAACUCUGUAGCAUGAAACAGCCAUAGACCAUUAGCCCAUAGGCUCUUUGUGGACCUCUGCCCUAGGCCGUCAGAGACCUUUCCUGGAUCUAUGCUUCUGGCCCACAAAGGAAGAGAGAAUGUGUCUCUAUCCCGUAUCCAUCUAAAAGAACAUAUGGGAAGGCCACAUUCCUAAUCUGAUCUUUGCCGCUGGGCUGAGUCUUGUGUUUAACUGAGGAAUAUCACUGGCUCUAAUACUCAAAGCCUUAUCUCUUAUUAUUUGGUAAUCUCAAAGGUAUCAGCUAUCCUAACAUUUCAUUGCCCCAGGUUUCUUGACUGUUCCCUUUCAUUUCAGCUUGCAGACCAGCCAACUCCAUCCUGAACUCAUCUCUUUCCUAUAAAACAUUACCAAAGACAGCUAAUAGUAGCCAGCAGGCACCAGCACUCAAAUUAUUCCCAACCGCUUCCUCAGAGCCCUGGUUCAGUAAACACACGGUCUUCUUUAAGUUACUGCAGGUGACCAUUUUUCAGUGUCUUGCUACUUUAUAGCCUAGUAUCCAUCAUUCAGCUACUACCAUGUUUCCUUACCAUUCGCCAACUCACUCGUGUAUUUUAGAUUUAUGCUAUGGCAGCACCCAACUUAGAGGUACCAGUCUCUGAAUUGUAAUAAAGGCACCAAUAUUUCAGUGGUUUUAAAUAAUAAAAAAAUUAUUUUUUGACCUGAAACAGUCCAACACAGGUGUCUGUGGUUGGGUGGGUCUCCUGGGUAGCUUUAUUCCACAUGGCAACUUAGGAACCCAGGAUGCUUCCAGUCUAGGGGCUUCACCAAUCUCCAGGGUCUUGGAGUUCACCAGAUCUCCACAUCCAGCCACUAGACCCAUGAUUGCCUCUUGUUCCGUUGGCCAGAACUCAGUUAUAUGGCUCCACCUAACAGCAGAGGAGACUGGGAAAUACAGCCUAGCUGCGUGCCCAGAAGAAAAAAAAAGAUACUGGCAAAUGAACAGCAUUCUCUCUGAACAGUGGUUUAUGUGGUACAAUUUUCUUGAUUGCAGGCAGUCAUGGGGUUACCAGGCCUAUACGAAAGUGAUCCUUCUCUCCCGGUCUUUCAGCUUCUAUGUUCUGAUCAUGAGAGAAAAGGGAGAAGCUGAGAGUUGCAGGGAGAAGCAGAAGCUGCAAGAAACAGACACAGUGAAGCAGAGAG